rnacentral:lncRNA from 1 species
GUUGAGCCAUGCCGCGGAGGCCCCUCACCAGCUGACACGCAAACAAGAAAAGCAAAGACAUAAAUCGUACUACAACAAACACAUCAGUGCAACAAAGAGUCAAAAAGCAAAAGCACAAGACAACGGUAUACCGUUUCUAUCAUAUCAAACAUCUUAGCAGAGGGCUUGAUGGCUUUCCAGUCGGGUGUAAUCUGUUUUAGCUUAACUUCCAACUCCGCGUAGCUGAAAGGGCUAGCAGGAGCUGCAUCGUCAGCAGGUUCCUCC